rnacentral:misc_RNA from 1 species
GUUUCCCAUGAGCAAAAGCCUCAAAUUAGAUGAUGUCACUGGUGAACUACUUACUGAACCUAAAAGAUAUCGUAGAUUGGUGGGUUGUUUGCUUUAUCUUCAUCUUACUCGUCUGGACAUCUCUUAUGUUGUUCAACAUUUAAGUCAAUUUCUACAGCAACCACGCAAACCACACUAGGAUGCCCUCACUACUCUCCUUCGAUACCUCAAAGGCACACCAGCCAAAGGAUUAUUCUUUCUCGCAAACACUAGUCUUCAAUUACGAGCUUAUUGUGAUGCUGAUAGGGCCACUUGCUCUAUGACACACAAAUCCUUAACAGGGUAUUGCAUCUUUCUUGGCUGGUCUCUGAUUUCCUGGAAAUCGAAGAAACAAACUACAGUAAGCAAGUCAUCUGCGGAGGCGGAGUAUCGUAGUAUGGCUAUGACAGUCUGCAAACUUCAAUGGAUAUCCUAUUUGCUGCGUGAUUUGCAAGUGUCAUUAUCUCAACCAAUUCCUCUGUUCUGUGACAACAAGGUAGCUAUCCAUAUUUCUGAAAAUCCCGUGUUUCAUGAACGCACCAAACACCUAGAUAUUGAUUGCCAUAUUGUUAGACAGCAAGUACUUCACAAGUUCAUUAUCACUUCACAUGUUGCAGCCAGAGAUCAACUUGCAGAUCUUUUCACUAAGCCCCUGACGUCUCCCAGGUUUCACCAAUUUUUGUCCAAGAUGGGAUUGGUUUCAUUAAACCCAUCUCCAUCUUGAGGGGGG